CCCGACUGCGCAGGCGUGCUCACCUGGCGUGCUCCACCCGGCUGGGCGUCCUCAGGCUCCUCCCCUGGGCGUGGCCUCCGGGCGGCCCGGCUGCUUCUCAGGUGAUAUUGGUUCCAGCUGGUGGGGUCUAGUUGACGCUUCCGCAGCCACCAGGACCAACGGAAAGCCGAUCGGGGGAACCGCGGCGGGGCUGGUGUCAGGAGCCUGAGGUGAACUUGAGGGUGCCUCCUCAGCGGUCUCCCCCCCUGCCCUGAGGGGCGCCGGGACCCCAAAGAGCGGAGGAAGAGCGCCACCCCGACUGCCACCGCUUCGGGGCCAGCACGCGGGGUACCCUACAGGGAGCGCGGAUGCCCCUGUGUUCGGGCGGGGACGGCUCCACCCCUCCUGGGCCGUCCCUUCGGGACGGGGACUGUCCCUCCCAGAGAGAGUGCUGACUACCCGCGCGACCGUCUGGAUCCCCGGUCAGGAAGCAAGCCCCUUUGAAGCCUCCUUGCCGCCGUUUCUGAGAAGAGGGAAUAGAAGGCCACUCAUCCGGGAAGACUUCACUCCAGAAAUCACUCCUGCCUGGCCCUCUAGCCCAGUCCAAGAGCACCUGGCCAGCCGGAGAAGCACUGCUGGACUGGGGGAAUUUGGCCGUACGGCGUCCACAGAGAAGCCCAGCUCCUUACUGGGACCCUGGUCCACUUCCCAAGUUGACCUUCCUGCAAGAAGAGAACAUACCACGUAUUUUAACACAUUUGACAGUCACAGGGGAAGUCUAAGGAAGCCAGGGCCUGCCUGCUUGGGGCCUGUCCAAGCUCGUCCUCUGCCGCCCUAUCUCCGUCAUGUUUGCUUUGGAAGUCCAGAAGAUUGUGUUUAUGUUCCCAGCAGGGCACCUGUUCACUGGUACCAAGAAAAGGCCCAAGUGUUUCCCUGGCAUCAGGUGGUGUCUGGAUCCACCACUCCACACUGUCUCUGGAAACAGCCCUUCCACGUCUCUGCAUUCCCUGUUACUGUGUUGCUGGCCUUCGGACGGAGCCAAGGUGCACGGCAACCCCUCUACGAGGUCUGUAGCCAUUUAUAUUGCUUAGGCUACUGGUAAGUGGACUAAGGUUUAAAAUUACUAUCUUAAACAUUUCUAGCUAAUGUUAACCAGCCAUCCAACCAACCGGUGGUGGGAGUCACAGAAUGCUAAAACAAUGUCACUCUCUUUACUGUUUAUUCCCUGCCUACCCAUCCACUGAACUGACAUCUACGGAGAGCCCACUACAGGCCCAGGCAAUGUCCAAGAGAGUCCCACAUCCCUGCCUGGACUGCAUGUGACAAUCAUCAUCAUACAGGGCUAUAGUGCAUAUAUGACAAAGUGCUGUGGGAGAAAAGAGAAAGACAAUCCAACCCUUUGGGCUCCCAGAAGAGGUGGCUUGCGAGCUGCACCUUGAGCACCCACUUACGGAGGACUGCAUAAGCAAAAGUGGGGAGGAAUGUGGGCGGGAGGGACGUGCAGAAGUGGGCAGUGGGGUUUGGAGUGACUGAACCCUAGGAGGGUGAUGGUGGCAAGAGAUGAGGGGGGAGUGUUGGAGGGGCCUGGGCAGGCUGUGCUGAGGAGUUUGGACUUGACCCUAAGGCACAGAGAACCACGGAAGGGGCUGAGCAUUAGAGGAACAGAGUCACACUCAGUCCCUUAGAACGUCGCUCUGGCCUCUGGUUAGACAUAGUGGGUGGAACAUUUGCAUUCAUCUCUGUUCCUUCUGGAGCCCUGCUAAUACGGCAGUGAUCAUUAUAUAUGUGUGUAUCUCAUGCAGCCACAGGACAAAAGAAUGAAAGAGGAGAAAGCAGCAGGAGAGAAGUGAACCAAAUUUUGAAUGCUGGGAGCAGAUGGACAGGUGGUGACUGACCUUCCCUCAAGCAUCUCUGGA
ensembl:lncRNA